AUGUGGAUAUAUUCACUUUUAGGUUAGUUUGAAUUUUAUUUUCCACAUCAUUCAAGGCUAUUUUUCAAAUUCUCGUGAAAUGGUAAAAACGGGGCGAGCAAUGUGCUUAAAAAAAAUCAGUACAAUAUCAACUAAAAUUAUAAGACGUUGUGUACAUAAGUGUAUUUGCAGUUUUUUUUAUAAGUAUAAUGUUUCAUAAUACACCUUUGUAUUUACCGGAAAUCAAUAAAAGCAAUUAUUUUUCCGUUUUCGAACAAAAAUCGAAUUAACUAUGUUACAUAAUAAGUAGACAUCGGCUGUGAUUGGAAAACUGUAACAACGUUAGUAAUUUGU